AUCAAAAGCACAGAGUUCUCUCAAGGACAAUGGCUGGGGCCCUGACCAAUGAGGGGAGAGACCGCCAUCCUCAAAUCUCUCUCAGUCUGGGACAGCACCAACUGGAGGAUGGACCAGCUUCUUCCCAGUGGGCACCACCCUCCCUUGUGAUCCUACCCCCAGCGCUUGCCUUCCCAUAGUCCUCCCUUCGCCCACCCCAGGAAGGGACUUACCUGCCGCUGCAGUGAGCCGCUGUAAGGACCCACCUGUGGUCAAUAAGGACACCCCCGCAGCGCAGGCUGGUGCCCUCAAACAGCCCCACCUGCCACGGCUGUGAGUUACGCCCACACUCGGUGCCAUUGAAAAUCUUCGGUGUGGCUGCCUGGCUGAGCCCUGGAGACAGACAGGGGCAUGGGUCAGAGAGAGGAAGAAAAGAUACAGAGAUGGAGAGACACACACAGAGAGAGAAACAGGCAGGAGAGAGAGAGAAGAGAGACGAGAAAGAGAGAGAAAGAGAGAGAGACCCAGUGAUAGAAAAAGACCAUGAAACAUCAAAGAGACCCAGGGAGAAAGAUGCUUACACAUAGGAGGGAAAUGGAGAGACAGAGAUUCAGAGAGGAACAGAAGGGAAGAGGGAUCAAAAAAUAGGGGAAACCGAGCUAAACGGAGUGGGGAAGGAGGAAAGGACCCAGGGUGGGAAGACCCAGCCCCACUCCCUCUCUCCUCUGCAAGCCCGUCAGCAGCCCUGGGACUGAUGACUCAAGGUGACUAGGGAGCUGGGUUCUAAUCCUGACUCCAGUGACAAAGGAGGGUGGGGAGACCUUGGACACCUGGGGCCCAUCCCCAUGCAGGCAGGGGAGGGGCAGGGGGAAGGAGAGGCUGUGAAAGCAGGAGAG